rnacentral:rRNA from 1 species
GGUUACUGCUAUCGAGGUUCGACUAAGCCAUGCGAGUCGAAUGUAGCAAUACAUGGCGAACUGCUCAGUAACACGUGGACAACCUGCCCUUAGGUUGGGUAUAAACCCGGGAAACUGGGUAUAAUACCCGAUAGGUCUCGAUUGCUGGAAUGCAUCGAGAUUUAAAGCUCCGGCGCCUAAGGAUGGGUCUGCGGCCUAUCAGGUAGUAGUGGGUGUAGCGUACCUACUAGCCUACGACGGGUACGGGUUGUGAGAGCAAGAGCCCGGAGAUGGAUUCUGAGACACGAAUCCAGGCCCUACGGGGUGCAGCAGGCGCGAAAACUUUACAAUGCUGGCAACAGCGAUAAGGGAACCUCGAGUGCCAGGUUACAAAUCUGGCUGUCGAGAUGCCUAAAAAGCAUUUCAUAGCAAGGGCCGGGCAAGACCGGUGCCAGCCGCCGCGGUAACACCGGCGGCUCGAGUGGUAACCGUUAUUAUUGGGUCUAAAGGGUCUGUAGCCGGCCGGAUAAGUCUCUUGAGAAAUCUGGCAGCUUAACUGUCAGGCUUUCAGGAGAUACUGUCUGGCUCGAGGCCGGGAGAGGUGAGAGGUACUUCAGGGGUAGGGGUGAAAUCUUGUAAUCCUUGAAGGACCACCAGUGGCGAAAGCGUCUCACCAGAACGGACCUGACGGCAAGGGACGAAAGCUAGGGGCACGAACCGGAUUAGAUACCCCGG